AGACGGUGCUCUUCCGAUUGAACCCUGGACCUCGUACAUGCUGCGCACAUACCGCUGAGCUACACCCUCCCUCCUGAGAAGUACAUCUUUACCAUGAUUUUUCUAACACGGGAUCAGACAGCUUGCAUGGCUCUCAGCACUAUUUUGCAGCCUCGCCCAGCAUGUCUAGUGUCCACUGUCAUUGCUGCUCGCUCACUGAGAUGCAGAACUCCACAGCCUGAAGGGCGUGACUCUCACUGAAUGCCUGCUCCAACGGCCCCAUCAGGGACUCCAGCCUUGCGCCCAGUCACCGAGCUUCCUCCUCACUCUCAUUCCUCAUGCCACUCUUGGUUGUUCUGCCAAGCUUCUUUGUUGCCAAUGAAACUGCCCCACGUUUGCCCAGGGGAAAGGUCGU